GAUCCUGGCUCAGGACGAACGCUGGCGGCGUGCUUAACACAUGCAAGUCGAACGAGAAUCUAUGGAAAGAGGAUUCGUCCAAUUGAAAUAGAGGACAGUGGCGGACGGGUGAGUAACGCGUGAGGAACCUGCCUUUCAGAGGGGGGACAACAGUUGGAAACGACUGCUAAUACCGCAUAACGCGUAGAGGUCGCAUGGCCUUUACGCCAAAGAUUUAUCGCUGAAAGAUGGCCUCGCGU
rnacentral:rRNA from 1 species